rnacentral:rRNA from 1 species
CCUACGGGAGGCAGCAGUGAGGAAUAUUGGUCAAUGGGCGCGAGCCUGAACCAGCCAAGUCGCGUGAGGGAAGACGGUCCUAUGGAUUGUAAACUUCUUUUGUAGGGGAGUAAAAUACGCCACGCGUGGCGUUUUGAGUGUACCUUAAGAAUAAGCAUCGGCUAACUCCGUGCCAGCAGCCGCGGUAAUACGGAGGAUGCGCGCGUUAUCCGGAUUUAUUGGGUUUAAAGGGUGCGUAGGGGGAAUGUUAAGUCAGCGGUGAAAGUUGGGGGCUCAACCCUAUCAUGGCCGUUGAAACUGGUAGUCUGGAGUGAGUGAGAGGUAGGCGGAAUGCGUGGUGUAGCGGUGAAAUGCGUAGAUAUCACGAAGAACUCCGGUGGCGAAGGCAGCUUACUGG